rnacentral:tRNA from 2 species
GCCAGGCUGGCGGAAUGGUAGACGCGGCAGAUUCAAAAUCUGCUUUCCGUAAGGAAGUAGGGGUUCGACUCCCCUGCCUGGUACCA